UACGAAGGGGGCUAGCGUUGCUCGGAAUCACUGGGCGUAAAGGGUGCGUAGGCGGGUCUUUAAGUCAGGGGUGAAAUCCUGGAGCUCAACUCCAGAACUGCCUUUGAUACUGAGGAUCUUGAGUUCGGGAGAGGUGAGUGGAACUGCGAGUGUAGAGGUGAAAUUCGUAGAUAUUCGCAAGAACACCAGUGGCGAAGGCGGCUCACUGGCCCGAUACUGACG
rnacentral:rRNA from 1 species